AUUGAACGCUGGCGGCAUGCCUUACACAUGCGAGUCGAACGGUAACAGGUCUUCGGAUGCUGACGAGUGGCGAACGGGUGAGUAAUACAUCGGAACGUGCCCAGACGUGGGGGAUAACGAGGCGAAAGCUUUGCUAAUACCACAUACGAUCUAAGGAUGAAAGCAGGGGACCGCAAGGCCUUGUGCGUUUGGAGCGGCCGAUGGCAGAUUAGGUAGUUGGUGGGAUAAAAGCUUACCAAGCCGACGAUCUGUAGCUGGUCUGAGAGGACGACCAGCCACACUGGGACUGAGACACGGCCCAGACUCCUACGGGAGGCAGCAGUGGGGAAUUUUGGACAAUGGGCGAAAGCCUGAUCCAGCAAUGCCGCGUGCAGGAUGAAGGCCUUCGGGUUGUAAACUGCUUUUGUACGGAACGAAAAGGCUCUGGCUAAUACCUGGGGCACAUGACGGUACCGUAAGAAUAAGCACCGGCUAACUACGUG
rnacentral:rRNA from 1 species